rnacentral:rRNA from 1 species
UACAGAGGUGGCAAGCGUUGUUCGGAAUUACUGGGCGUAAAGGGCGCGUAGGCGGCCUUCUAAGUCAGACGUGAAAUCCCCCGGCUUAACCUGGGAACUGCGUCUGAUACUGGAGGGCUUGAGUGCGGGAGAGGGAUGUGGAAUUCCAGGUGUAGCGGUGAAAGCGUAGAUAUCUGGGAGGAACACCGGUGGCGAAGGCGGCGUUCUGGACUGUUUCUGACACUGAGGAACGAAAGCCAGGGGGAGCAAACGGG